GCGUGACCGGCUGACUACCGGAUCAGAAUUCUCAGAAAGCUUACUAAAGUGAAAACCCGAGCCACGCGAAAUCCAGCGCGUCAGUGUCGGCCAGGAUAUCCAGUUCCAAAGCCUGGCCUGGGCUUCCCAUGGAGCACAGAGAAGAGCCACGGGUGAAGGGACUGCAGAAUUUCAAAGAAAUGAGACAAGGAUUUGGCUUCAAGAUGAGGUUUUAAGAUCAGGAGAGAAGAUAAAGAAGCUUCUUCAAAGCAGAAAAAACCUGGAAACUCUGCAUCCACUCACUGUAACUUUAGGGGGGAAUGCUCUCCAAGGGUCUACUUUACAAAAAAGACUAAAAACCUUUAGAAAACCAAUGUGGAAAUCCUAAGACUUAGCAGAACUUACAGAGCAUCCAACCACUCUAUAGGAAGAAAGCCCUGAGAACUCCAACCAGGAAGAACCUCUCAACAUUAGAUUCUCUGAGCACCAGGGGACUCAUUCAGGAAAAGAACCUCACCGGUGCCUCGGUUGUGGGCAAAGCUCCCUUCGUGCAGACUUUUGUAAACGCUAACAUCUCCCAUCAGAGGAGAGAUCCUGUGAAUGUACUACAUCUUAUGGAAAGCAGUGUGACUGUGUUUUAAGAAAAUUAAAAUUUGGGGGUGCCUGGGUGGCUCCAUCGGUUAAGUGUCUGAUAUCAGCUCAGGUCAUGGUCUUGCGGUCGUGAUAUGGAGCCCUGAGUCAGGCUCCAUGCUAAGCGUGGAGCCUGCGUGGGAUUCUCCCACUACCUGUCUGUCUCCCUGCCCCUCCCCCACUCAUGCUCUCUUUAUCUCUCAAAAUAAAUAAAUAAACUUAAAGGAAGCUUAAAAUGUUUCUCCUCUUCAUUUUUUUUAAAGUUUAUUUAUUUAUUUUUGAGAGACUGAGCGAGUGGAGAGGGGCAGAGAGAGGGAGGGAGAGAGAGUCCCAAGCAGGCUCCGCACUGCCAGGGUGGAGCCUGAUGCAGGGCUUGAAGCCAUGAACUUCAAGAUCAUGACCUGAGCCAAAGUCAGAUACCUAACUGACUGAGUCACCCA